CCUACGGGAGGCAGCAGUGAGGUAUAUUGGUCAAUGGACGAGAGUCUGAACCAGCCAAGUAGCGUGAAGGAUGACUGCCCUAUGGGUUGUAAACUUCUUUUAUAAAGGAAUAAAACGAGGCACGUGUGCCUUUUUGCAUGUACUUUAUGAAUAAGGAUCGGCUAACUCCGUGCCAGCAGCCGCGGUAAUACGGAGGAUCCGAGCGUUAUCCGGAUUUAGUGGGUUUAAAGGGAGCGUAGAUGGGUUGUUAAGUCAGUUGUGAAAGUUUGCGGCUCAACCGUAAAAGUGCAAUUGAUACUGGCAGUCUUGAGUACAGUUGAGGUAGGCGGAAUUCGUGGUGUAGCGGUGAAAUGCUUAGAUAUCACGAAGAACCCCGAUUGCGAAGGCAGCUUACUAAACUGUGACUGACAUUGAUGCUCGAAAGUGUGGGUAUCAAACAGGAUUAGAUACCCUUGUAGUC
rnacentral:rRNA from 1 species